rnacentral:rRNA from 1 species
AGCGGCAGGCUUAACACAUGCAAGUCGAGGGGCAGCACGGGUAGCAAUACCUGGUGGCGACCGGCGCAAGGGUGCGUAACGCGUGAGCAACAUGCCCUAUACAGGGGGAUAAUACCAGGGUAAACUUGGUCUAAUAUCCCAUAGUAUUUAGAGGAGGCAUCUUCUAUAAAUUAAAGCUUCGGUGGUAUAGGAUUGGCUCGCGUGACAUUAGCUAGAUGGUGAGGUAACGGCUCACCAUGGCAAUGAUGUCUAGGGGUUCUGAGAGGAAGGCCCCCCACACUGGGACUGAGACACGGCCCAGACUCCUACGGGAGGCAGCAGUGAGGAAUAUUGGACAAUGGAUGGAAAUCUGAUCCAGCCAUGCCGCGUGCAGGAAGACAGCCCUAUGGGUUGUAAACUGCUUUUAUAUGGGAGCAAUAAGGUCUACGUGUAGACUGAUGAGAGUACCAUAUGAAUAAGCAUCGGCUAACUCCGUG